AAACUGCCUAAGGAAACCUUGCCACGCAGACAUUCGUUUCCUCUGGCUUACCUCUACUCUCUCUCUCUCUCAUUGUUUCUCACUGUUGCUGGUUAAUCGCUUCAGGAGCUAAGGGGGGAAAUGGCGAUGGGGAUAAGGGUGGAGAUAAACAGUAUUUGAUGGGUCUGAAUGAAAAUCUGAUGAAACAGAUGUUACUUGAAGCUGAGUGACUUUCUCAGGGUCAAGCAAAUAAGUAAAUGGAGGAGCCAGAAUUAUACCCCAGAAAGCUAUGUGCUGGCAAACUGGCCUCUACAGUUCAAGGUUGGAGAACCCCAGCCAAUGCCCCGAGGGUGGGACAGAACCUAGGCGCCAAGCAGUAUCCUCAGGCUGCAAUUUGCUGGACACACAGAGUCCUGUUCUGCAACCUCCCCCUACGUUGUGGAGCCUCUUUGUUGGAACCCAAGGGAACAGAAGAUGGAUUGGGGAGGAUGGAGGAUUCUAUUUUCAGUGGACACAGAUUUGUCAUUGUUUCCCCUACUGCCAAUUCCAUUCAUAUAAACAAGAUUGCAUAUUUUGAAUAGGUAUAUUUCAAACACAAAAGUGCUUUUAUUAACUGAAAGUUAAAGUCAGACUGUUGGAAAUUUAUCAUUUAUGAGUAGGAUUUUGUAUCGGAUUCUUAUUUAUGUAUGUCUUACCUUACUCAGUAUCCAUGUAUAUGUAAGAAAAAUCCAUCUUUAGACAUUUAUCAAAUCAUACCAAUGCUGAUGUAUGAUGGGAACCACUGUAGUUCUUUAUAAGAAUGAAUAAACUAAUACCCCCUUUACUCAGAUAAUGAUUGUGUUAUAAGCUAGCCUGUGUUCUCACAAACAUGAUGUAUAUAUUUCAUUUAUAAUAUCUUUCCUUACCUCUUCCCUUUCCUCCCAG
rnacentral:lncRNA from 1 species